UCGAAAGUAUACGCGAAUCUCUUGAAUUCUUGAUUGCGGCUGAUGCAACAUUUUUCAGUUAUAACACCCACCCGGAAUUCGCUUGGAAAUUUAUUGCGCAAAAAAGAGACAUUGUGCGAACCAUUGCGCUUGCUAUAAAAACAAUCGAGCUGUCGAUCCCUAUAGUUUUGGCCGAGUUUCAAAUCUAAUCCUGAUGAAUUCUCGAGAACAAUUUCUCAUCGUUUCACCCGCAGCCAAAGCAGCUUGUGUAAGUCUUCGAACAAAUCGAUGAAACAACGUUCCUUACAUCUCUCUUCAGUCUUCCUUCCCCUUACAAGUGCAAACCCACACAGGGGAACCAAUCAAACGAACCUGCGAAAACAGGGAAAAAAAACGAAGUCUUCGCUGCACGAGGUCGAAGCCUCAUCAAUGAGGCUAUACAGUCCCUCGAAAAACACACGACGCAGAUUGCAUCGACGAAAGCCGCCAAGUCAUCGUUGCGCGCGACAUCGUAUACGACUGGCGAUCAAUCAGCAGAGCGGCGACAGAACAGCUCUUCCUAAAGCAAUGACUGAAGGAACAAGAUAAUUACUUCAAAAGGGAAAGGAAGGAAGGUCGGAGUAAUUGAGUCGUUGUCGUGACGGUGGCAACGUCGGUGGCGCGACCAAAACUAAAGUUAGGCGUUUUUUGGGACGAUCGCACGAUUGGCACAAGUCGCUGCCGCGCGAUGCGUUCGCGCACGUGAGCCUCGAGCAGAGCAACUAUCUUGAUCAGUGAUUGACGUAUUGUAACAGUGGGCUAGCGAGUUUUAUCGCCUGGCAUGAAAGUGUCAAAUCAAUUAGAGAAGACACGUAGCUCUGCCGCCUAAAUGAAUUAGAACAUAUCCCAUAAACAUCACGAUCGUAACUGCAGAAUAAAAAUCAUCUGCUCUUAUUAUGUUGCUGCAAGAAAAAAACAUGAAAUGUGGAAUGCUUUGCAAACUCUGCACGAUAAAUGUGCGUUCAUCGAUAUUUCUGUACAAAGAAAGAUAAAUGCGAAUUCGUUACAAAAAGUU